CCUACGGGGGGCAGCAGUGGGGAAUAUUGGGCAAUGGGCGCAAGCCUGACCCAGCGACGCCGCGUGAGGGAUGAAGGCCUUCGGGUUGUAAACCUCUUUCAGUAGGGAAGAAGCGAAAGUGACGGUACCUAAAGAAGAAGCACCGGCUAACUAUGUGCCAGCAGCCGCGGUAAUACAUAGGGUGCAAGCGUUGUCCGGAAUUAUUGGGCGUAAAGAGCUCGUAGGUCGUUUGACACGUCGAUUGUGAAAAUCUGAGGCUCAACCUCAGACCUGCAGUCGA
rnacentral:rRNA from 1 species